CUUAUCAUAUUUUUUAGAUACAAAGAGCGAAAAAUAUGACUGAAACUCUGAAGUUUGUUUAUGUUUUAAUUUUAUUUAUUUCAAUAUUUCUUGUCAUAAUAGUAUGUGAAUCUUCUUUUUUUCCAAGUUCUCCAGUUUGUAAAACAGAUAAAGAUUGUCCACAAUUGAGAGGUUAUACUGCUAGGUGUCGUAAAACCCAAUGCCUACUAAUCCCACGAGGAUGAAUGUGUUCCAGCUGAUCUAGCAAAAGAAUUGUAGAUUCUACUUUAUGCUGGAAUAUUCGAGGAACUGUCAUUUGGUUUUCGUGCACGCACCAAAUAAUUGUAUUUUCUUUUCUAAAUUUUAUGAACCUUGAAGUUAUGAUUUUGUACUCUAAGAUGUUGGCAACGAAAUGAAAUAAGAUACUCCAGACAGAGAGCUCUAGUUGCGGGACGCUUAGGAGGUGACGAAGGGGAUUUACUUCCGUUGUUAUUAUUUAGUGAUUUUUUGUAGUCGAAAAACUCGUGCUCUGAUUUGUAACACUAGGGUUAGGGGCAAACAUUGAAUGUUUAAUUCUAUCAAGUUUAAGUCUUGUGAAAUUUUAUGUUAUUUUCCACAAAUAAUGUUGAGGAUCAUAUUCUUUUAUUUAUGAAAUAUUUUGAAGUAUCCA